GACGAACGCUGGCGGCGUGCUUAACACAUGCAAGUCGAACGGAAAGGCCCUGCUUUUGUGGGGUGCUCGAGUGGCGAACGGGUGAGUAACACGUGAGUAACCUGCCCUUGACUUUGGGAUAACUUCAGGAAACUGGGGCUAAUACCGGAUAGGAGCUCCUGCUGCAUGGUGGGGGUUGGAAAGUUUCGGCGGUUGGGGAUGGACUCGCGGCUUAUCAGCUUGUUGGUGGGGUAGUGGCUUACCAAGGCUUUGACGGGUAGCCGGCCUGAGAGGGUGACCGGCCACAUUGGGACUGAGAUACGGCCCAGACUCCUACGGGAGGCAGCAGUGGGGAAUAUUGCACAAUGGGCGGAAGCCUGAUGCAGCAACGCCGCGUGCGGGAUGACGGCCCUCGGGUUGUAAACCGCUUUCGCCUGUGACGAAGCGUGAGUGACGGUAAUGGGUAAAGAAGCACCGGCUAACUACGUGCCAGCAGCCGCGGUGAUACGUAGGGUGCGAGCGUUGUCCGGAUUUAUUGGGCGUAAAGGGCUCGUAGGUGGUUGAUCGCGUCGGAAGUGUAAUCUUGGGGCUUAACCCUGAGCGUGCUUUCGAUACGGGUUGACUUGAGGAAGGUAGGGGAGAAUGGAAUUCCUGGUGGAGCGGUGGAAUGCGCAGAUAUCAGGAGGAACACCAGUGGCGAAGGCGGUUCUCUGGGCCUUUCCUGACGCUGAGGAGCGAAAGCGUGGGGAGCGAACAGGCUUAGAUACCCUGGUAGUCCACGCUGUAAACGGUGGGUACUAGGUGUGGGGUCCAUUCCACGGGUUCCGUGCCGUAGCUAACGCUUUAAGUACCCCGCCUGGGGAGUACGGCCGCAAGGCUAAAACUCAAAGGAAUUGACGGGGCCCCGCACAAGCGGCGGAGCAUGCGGAUUAAUUCGAUGCAACGCGUAGAACCUUACCUGGGUUUGACAUGGAUCGGGAGUGCUCAGAGAUGGGUGUGCCUCUUUUGGGGUCGGUUCACAGGUGGUGCAUGGCUGUCGUCAGCUCGUGUCGUGAGAUGUUGGGUUAAGUCCCGCAACGAGCGCAACCCUUGUUCACUGUUGCCAGCACGUUAUGGUGGGGACUCAGUGGAGACCGCCGGGGUCAACUCGGAGGAAGGUGGGGAUGACGUCAAGUCAUCAUGCCCCUUAUGUCCAGGGCUUCACGCAUGCUACAAUGGCUGGUACAGAGAGUGGCGAGCCUGUGAGGGUGAGCGAAUCUCGGAAAGCCGGUCUCAGUUCGGAUUGGGGUCUGCAACUCGACCUCAUGAAGUCGGAGUCGCUAGUAAUCGCAGAUCAGCAACGCUGCGGUGAAUAAGUUCCCGGG
rnacentral:rRNA from 1 species